rnacentral:rRNA from 1 species
AUUGAACGCUGGCGGCAUGCCUUACACAUGCAAGUCGAACGGCAGCGCGGGCUUCGGCCUGGCGGCGAGUGGCGGACGGGUGAGUAAUGCAUCGGAACGUGCCCAGGAGUGGGGGAUAACGUAGCGAAAGUUACGCUAAUACCGCAUACGUACUGAGGUAGAAAGCGGGGGAUCGAAAGACCCCGCGCUCAUGGAGCGGCCGAUGUCGGAUUAGCUAGUUGGUGGGGUAAAAGCUCACCAAGGCGACGAUCCGUAGCUGGUCUGAGAGGACGACCAGCCACACUGGGACUGAGACACGGCCCAGACUCCUACGGGAGGCAGCAGUGGGGAAUCUUGGACAAUGGGGGAAACCCUGAUCCAGCAAUGCCGCGUGUGGGAUGAAGGCCCUCGGGUUGUAAACCACUUUUGGCAGGAAAGAAAUCGCCUGUGCUAAUACCACGGGCGGAUGACGGUACCUGCAGAAUAAGCACCGGCUAACUACGUGCCAGCCGCCGCGGUAA